CCUACGGGAGGCUGCAGUGAGGAAUAUUGGUCAAUGGACGAGAGUCUGAACCAGCCAAGUAGCGUGAAGGAUGACUGCCCUAUGGGUUGUAAACUUCUUUUAUAAAGGAAUAAAACGAGGCACGUGUGCCUUUUUGCAUGUACUUUAUGAAUAAGGAUCGGCUAACUCCGUGCCAGCAGCCGCGGUAAUACGGAGGAUCCGAGCGUUAUCCGGAUUUAUUGGGUUUAAAGGGAGCGUAGAUGGGUUGUUAAGUCAGUUGUGAAAGGUUGCGGCUCAACCGUAAAAUUGCAAUUGAUACUGGCAGUCUUGAGUACAGUUGAGGUAGGCGGAAUUCGUGGUGUAGCGGUGAAAUGCUUAGAUAUCACGAAGAACCCCGAUUGCGAAGGCAGCUUACUAAACUGUGACUGACAUUGAUGCUCGAAAGUGUGGGUAUCAAACAGGAUUAGAUACCCGUGUAGUC
rnacentral:rRNA from 1 species